AGCUCCGGAGCGGCCAGGGGUGAGGGCUCACCUUCGGCCGCCCCGGGCGGGUCAGGAGGAGGCGUAGGUCCAGCCGAGAGCGCUCCUCCGUGGGGUCGAGGGCAGCUCGUAGGCGUCCCAUGGCCGGGCCCAACUUCCGAAAGUCACGGCUGGGUCAGAGCUGAGGCCCCUCCAGCCGAGCCCGUCACGGGGCUCCCGCACCCUUCCCGGCAGGCCGUGUCUGCUCGCUCCACCUGUGUUCAGCAUCUCUAAAAUAAAAAAUCUGUGUCGGUUUGGUACGAAUUGCCAAGGAGGUGUAAAACAGGAACAGAGAAAUCAAUUUCUGUGCUGCAUAAAGGAUGAUAGAAUCACAUAAUAGGCUGGCAAUACUUAAUAUAAGACACAGAUAAAAAGACUUGUGCAGCUUACACAACCACCUGUUUCUCUGCUUGGAACUCUCCACUAUAUUUUAAGGUACAGAAGAGAUCUGUUCUUUCAAGAACUGUUAGGAAUGGACAAGCAAAGACUCGUCAAUCCACACCCCAAUCCUGAGCAGCCUGGGUCUAAAAGAAGCGUCUUGAGUUUUGAGAAAGUAGCUGAUCUAAGCAGGAUGGUUUAUUUAAAGAACUGAUACAGCAAGGGCAUUUCCUUUCCUGAAGUUGCUUGUUAGCUGGGAGACAGUAGAGGAAAAUAUAGUAUGUUUCUGUCUCAGGCUUCUCUGAUAUCCUAAAUAGCCAUUCAUGCCUGUCCAUGGCAAAAUAUAGGCUACUCACAAGAGGCAGUGCAAAUAUUCACAAUCUGUGCUUUGUUCUUCAGUGGUUUUACCACAAGAAAUAAUACUUAAUGACUGAGAGACUUAAAAUAUCAGAAUGAACGCUUAAUUGGUCAUGACUACCGUAACUGAUAAAAAUAAGGAAGUUCCCAAUACUAGAAUUUAAGUCAUCUGAACACUCAGGGCCAGCAUGAUGGAGGUUAUCUUAGAGUGCACCGGCACUUGUGACAAAUUAAUUUAUGAAGACUGAAGCCAAUUGAACAGAACUGCACUUCACCAAACACAGUUGAGAAGCACCCAGUCUUGAGCACAAUGACAUCAUGUCUUGGACACAGUACAGCCAUGUGUUUGAAGCUUCCAAGGGCCAUAUUCAUCAGGCAAAGAGACUUUAAAAGCUUCAGUCAUGCAAACUACAGUUCUUAUACUAUAGACUAGAGAUCGUGUAUCAUCUUAAGCCACUGUGCUUAAUGAUUUUUAAGAUUCUCAGCUGUUUUCAGAGCCUUUUAUGGGACAGUUCAGAGAGACUUAGAAAUCUCUUCAGCCCACGCUAACAUAACUUCUCAAAGCAUCUCUCUUAAGCAACUGUCUGCAACAAGAAUGAGAGAUGUCAGCGCAGGAAGCAAAAAGCUGAAUAUGGAACUGUCUCCCUUUUGAAAACACUGGAACAGUGAUAGAUCUUCCUGACACGAGAUUACUUUUUGUCCAAGAGACACAACAGCAAUACAAUCCAAUAAAUAAAUAAAUGCAAUGCUAACUGCAAGAUAUAAAUGUCAAGAUAAAAAAUAUGUACCUCUGGGCGUAAUUGUUAAAGUAUAUUAUUUUGGAGUGUAUUACCAUGGAGGUAAAUUGGA